AAGUAAGUGAAAAUAUGCACUUUGCAUACAAAAACAUGAUAUUACCUAAUUAAUUGAUCUUUAUUUCUUAAUUGUCUCACUAUUAUCAGGUAAAACUUUUCCUGUUUACUUUUUAAUAUAACUUUUCUCACUUUAUAUUUUCCAGGCUGGAUGGUUUCAUUUUUAGUUGAGUAACAUUUUGGCACAUUAUCUUUACUUUCACUUAAGUAUAAUCUCUCAGUACUUUUUCCAUAUUUAAAAUGUAUACCUACUUCCAGUGGGAGAUUAUUUGCCUACGUUACAUUGAUUGGACUUUUAUGUGAGUGCCAAAAUGCAUACACCAACUAAUUAUAAAUGAAAUAAAUUAUUUGUGACUAUCCUCUCUUUGGGUCCUGUUUAAGCCAUACUUUAUGACUACUUUUUUUUUUAAAUCAUUUUAUGUUUUUUAUGUUCGGUUAUCACAUCAAUAUUAUGUUUAAGUUUUACUGUUUGUCACUAUGCAGACGUGGCACGGUGUAAUACAGACCAGGAAAUGCACUUUAACCCAAGCAAAGACAUUCUCAGCUUUUUGAAGCCUGUUAAUGAGCUGAAUCAGGUACACACUGAUACUAAAUUGUUUGCCAAAAGCUAGAAUUAAAUACAUAAAUGAUAGAAAAAGAGCUUGUCUUUUAAAAAAGAGGGCAACAUGAAAAAAAAUACUAUAGUUGUUACAGUAUUUUUAAAAAAUCCAUGACAUACCUUUCUGUGCAUCACCCAAAUCAGUAAUACUACCUGAACAGUCACCAAAAACGAGUCUAAAAAUGUCUAAACAAGAUUUACACCAAUCCGAGUGAACCCAAAAGAGGGAUUAAUUAUCCAGUGGACUAUGCAAGUAUAAUAAAGGUACUGAAUAGUUUUAUUCCAGACACUACACUUUCAGUAUUACAUUCUACCCUUCCAGGCUUCCUUGCACUGUUUAAGGUUGGGACCAUGGGUUAUGUCAUUUAUGGAUUCUAUUCUUUGUCGCAAUAUAGAGAUUUUUUUUUUUUUAAUUUCUAAAAUCUCUGGCAUGGUGCAGCACUUUCUGCUAUUAAUAUAACCAACGAUCACUGUUGUUCUUUAAUCACAUCCAAUUGUGUUUCAUUGCAAAAUUAAAAUGACAUAAUGGAGAUUUGAUGGCAUAAGAGUAGAGGACAGAGCUCCAGAAACAGAAAGCAGAAAUAAUAUUAAAUAAUAGCACACAUACUAUUAAAUAAUAAAUAUUUUCCAAAUAAAAUCCUAGCUAUUAGACUUCCUCGAAAGGAACAUGGUUCGGCUAUUGUUUUAUUAAUCAAAGGCAGGAGAAAAUACAUUCUUAUUAUCAGGUUUUAAGUAAAGUAAAUAAAAACUGGUGGUCAAACACAAUUUGGUUGCGAGUAGAACACAUUUUAAUAGGAUUACUAACAUUUCUUCUGCUGUCCACAUCUAUCAGUUUUAACAUGUUUAACAUUUUAACUCCAUUAAAGCCACACCAGCCAUAAAACUGCUUUUAAGAAUGCAUCACUCACCCACAAGCAGAACCAGUAAGCAUAAGCUCAAGAGCUGUAUCAUUACAGCCAUAAUGCAAGUCCUAUGUUGAAUACAAGGAUAGAGGAUCAAUGCUCAGCAGAGAGCUUCUUUAAACACUUUUCUGUGUGUACUGAUUCCUUCUGGAAGCUCCUACAGUUUUAGUGUAGAGAAAAAAUGGGUGUGGUCUGACUGUCAAGCCACUCCCUCCAAACUACAACCAUGAAUGUUAGUUAGAC
ensembl:lncRNA